AACCGCCCAGGUGCGACCCGCAGCAGCCUUGGCGAUGCAGCUCGUUCUCCAGACGCGGGUCCACACCGGCGCGUCCUCGCCUCCAGGGACCGAUCGCUGUUCUCCGUGGCCGGUGACUUGGGGCGCCAGUGAGAAGCAAGUAGUCAAAGAAAACAUCCCGGGCAAACCGGCUGACCGAAAAUCCACUGUCGGGGUAGGGAGGCGCCCUCUACGGGGAUGAAGUCAUCGCUACCUUUGACUCUUUGAUCCUAGAUAACCGACCAAGACGUUUCCAGCCUAAUGCCUGACGCCUUUUGCUUCCUCCAUCCUGGUCCUCAGUCCCUGAACUCCCAGGACAGAAUUCCUGACCUCCUUGGUCAAGCCUUGGAUCGAGAAAGAGAAACUAUUAGUGUAAACAAACCAAUCAACCCCAAAACCAAAACUGUGCCUGCCAAUAGCCCAUUUCUUGGCCAUUGAUGGUGCAUGAAGAGAAAUGGAUCCAAUUAAGAAAAUCUUAAAAUCUUAAGGAAUAAGAAAAUGUAAUAAAGAGAAAGACAAUGUCAUGCUCAGGGAGCUAAUAUGAAUCCCAAAGGAAUAUUGACUGUUCAGGCUCAAGUUAAAUUACAGCAGAUCGAAAGUGAGGAGUUGAGUGGCAUCUUCUUUUCUCUUACUGUCGACCUUGUUAAAUGGGGAGUCCACACCCCUUGCCUACUCCUCCCUCCUCAACCCCGUGACAGUGGGCCUCCCCCCAACUGUAUUGAGCAUGCACUCUAAAACAGUUACUUUUUGAGAAGUCAAGUCUGGUGACCCAUUCUCAGCCCCUCAUCCCUUUGAUCUCCUUGGCAGCAUCCUACCCUAAGGCCUUCUCUAUGCUUCUCUGGACUUCUCUGCUGACCCUUCUCUUCCUUUGAGGACAGUAACAAGGUUUUUCCAACUCUCGAUCUCCCAGUAUCCCAAAGAAAUACCUUCUGAUUUCAAACUGAACCCAUCCAGAUGUCGUGGGACCUGAAGCUUGUAUAACUCCUGGGGGAACUUCUUAAAGGAAAGCAAUAAAAACUUACAAACAUAA
rnacentral:lncRNA from 1 species